rnacentral:snoRNA from 1 species
CCCGAGACUAGUCCCAUCUUGACAGCUGUUGUCCUGGUGUGCUAGAGCUCUCGGGAAGAACCUGCGGGUCUCGAUUCACUGGCGAGGGCAGUAAGUGCCCGGUAGUGCCCAGAUCAGAAACACAG